CCUACGGGUGGCAGCAGUGAGGAAUAUUGGUCAAUGGACGAGAGUCUGAACCAGCCAAGUAGCGUGAAGGAUGACUGCCCUACGGGUUGUAAAGUUCUGUCAGUGGGGACGAAAAAUGCCGGUACCCACAGAGGAAGCACCGGCUAACUCCGUGCCCGCAGCCGCGGUAAUACGGAGGGUGCAAGCGUUGUCCGGAAUCAUUGGGCGUAAAGAGUUCGUAGGCGGCAUGUAAAGUCAGGUGUUAAAGGCGCAGGCUCAACCUGUGUAUGGCACUUGAUACGUGCAAGCUAGAAUGCGGUAGAGGUAAAGGGAAUUCCUGGUGUAGCGGUGAAAUGCUUAGAUAUCAGGAGGAACAUCGGUGGCGUAAGCGCUUUACUGGGCCGUAAUUGACGCUGAGGAACGAAAGCCAGGGUAGCGAAUGGGAUUAGAUACCCGUGUAGUC
rnacentral:rRNA from 1 species